rnacentral:lncRNA from 1 species
UAUAGAAAUUCUUUUAUGAAAUUGGACGGCCCAGAUUUAUUGAUGAAUGAAAUGGAUGGCUGGGAUGAGGGAAAGGUUUUUGGUGUGUGUAUGUGUAUGAGAAGAAGAAACAGAAAACAGAAAAAGAAGAAAGAGACUGGGCAGAAAUGCCCAAUCGGAGAAGAAGAAGGUGAGAGCAAACCAGAAGAAGGGAGAGGAAGAAGCUGACCAAUCAGGGGACGGAAAGGAGGGAAAGGAGGGAAAGGAGGGAGAGUGGUGGCGCGGGGAACAGGAGGAAUGGGUCACCCUUGACCCGCGCGACCCAAGCUUCCAAAUCGGCGGGUUUUUCGCCAUUUCCGUCCAAAUUUCCGACGAAUUGAGUCAAGGUACCACUCCUAAUCAUCAUCUAGGCCUUCCCUCUUUACGUUUCACCCAAGAAUCAUUGAAUUUCGUUGUGAUUUCGCGAAGAACACCCCUACGGGUGCCGCGACCCUUUUGUUUAAAUUCUCCAAAUUUUGAAAUGUUUUCUUUUCAAUUACUAACACCUUUAGCAUUCCUUUAGGACCUAGAACAAAGCCCAAGAGGUAAUUGAGGCGUUGGAACAAGUUUGAAGGUCGAAUUGGAAACACCCAAAUUCUAGGGUUCUUCACGGUUUUGGUGAAAUUGAAGCACUUCCAGGCCAAAUUGGCCUUGGUCUCAGGUAUGAAAGUUGUUUCUACUCAUUGAGAUCUUCAAAUCUGCAAAUUUUGGUAAUUUUUGGAAAUAGUUGAAUUUUCCGGCGAGCCGGGGGCGGCCAACCGCCACCCGCGGCGGCCCGCGCGGCGGCGCGUGGCCAAUGGCCGCCAAUGUCAUUAUUAGCUUGUGAUUAAGGUUCUAGGUUCUGUUUUGAUAAUUGAUGGACGUAAAUUGAAUAAUUGAACCUAAGUUGGUUACGAUUCGGGGUUAGGUGAAAAUGUGAAUUGACGAUCCGACCGUUGGAUCGUCAUCAAACUUUGAUACGUUGUAAUACGUAAUAUUUGAGGAUUAUAGGAACUUACGGAUUGGGAAUCCGAUUUACGGAUAUUCCGGAAUUGGAAUUGUAAGUUCAUAAAAUAGAAUGUUAACCCGUCACUUAGUUUUGGAAAUUGACGGAGAUCCGACCGUUGGAUGGUAACGAAAAUUUUAGGAUGUUGUCCUAGAGGUAUAUUGUGGACCUCUGGAAGUUUCGGAUUUGAAAUCUGAAUUGCAGAUCAUCCGGAUCGAACUACGUAGUGACGUGUCUUAUAUAAGUUAUGUAUUCUAUCGGCAGGAUUUCUGAGGUUGGGUUUGAUUAUUGUUCUAGGCGCUAAUCUUCAUGACGCCUUGAUGUGUGGUGCUAGGGAGUUGUUGAGCGAACUCCAGGUGAGUGGGCAGUUUUUUGUUUUCGUAUUACCUUUAUACUAUAAAUUUUUUCCCAGAAGAUGAAUUUAUACGAAAUUAUGUUUUGAAAAUGCCAUGCAUAGAAUUAUUUGGAAAAGGUGAAUUUCACAUGAGUUAUAUGAUUGAUAUAUGAUGCAUACAUGUUGCAUGGUGCUGUGGAGGCACAGGUAAGUCAGGUGAGUUCAUUAUUCAUUUAAUUGAUUGUUGAUAAGAUGUUUCAAGCUCAUAAACCUGCACCCUAGGUGUUAGUGCUUAUUUUAUUCACCACACCGCACGCUCGCCUUGGAUCCAAGUAGGUGGAUGUCGUACAGACCAUGUGAGGGUUCCGACAUGCUAGUCGUAUAGAUCACUAGGCGUGAUUCCGACUAGUGGGUGAUCUUAGUUAUGCGCGCUGAUGAUUGAUGAGAGAAGCACUAGAGCGUAUUUUUACACCUUUCAUCGUACAGACUACCUUACGUAGUUCCGAGUGAUGUGCAGAGUAGGGCCGUAUAGGUCACUGUGGUGACUCCGGCUUAGUGAGAUAUUGAGCUAUUGAAUUAAUCGUAUAGGACCAACUGCAGGGUCUCCGAUUGAUUCCUUAUUUCACCUGAUUUAUAUUUUGAUUUAUGGCAUGGCAUGUUUUUCUUGAAAAAUGUUAAAGAUUUGGGAUUCAAGUUUUGAGAUUUCAUAUGGUUAUAUAUAUAUAUUUUUCUGAAAAGUGUUAAAGGUUUGAGAUUUGAGAUUUUUGCUUAUAUAUAUGUUUAUAUAUAUGCUAUUUUCUGGGAAAGUAUACAGGUUUUACGGUGAGGGGUUAGAAAUAUUUUAAAUGAAAAGUUUUCGAAAAACUUUGUUUUACUGACCCACUCAAUUUUGUUUUGCGCCCCUCCAGGUUCAAGUUAGCAGAGCUUUGGUGGCCACGAGGAAUCCAACGGUGUUCUGACAGAAUUCACAAAAGUAGGACUCACCCUCGGGUGUGUCAUCUUAGUAAUUGGAAAUUUUUUUUAAAGCUUCUGAACUAUGUAAAUGGUUACGUCACUCUCACGUGACGGCCAGCACGCCCUCCUUCGGGACGGGGUGUGUCAGUUGGUAUCAGAGCCUAGGUUGCAAUUCUGGACAUCUUGAGAAUUUCCUAGUGUCUUCUGUCAGAACUAUACCGCCUCAUAGCGAGCCACGUAGUUCGGAUGAGCCUAAAUUCCCUGAUAUAGUAGUUUGGGGGGAAAUUAUUGUCACUAUGAUUCAGUCUAUUAUCUAAAGGAACCUUUGAGACUGAUUAUAAGUUAAAUUUGAAUACAGACUUGCCUUGUUUCCAUUCGGGAUGUUGUUACUAAUCCGGUCGAGGUGUUAUGUCGUUUUUGGCGGGAUAAUAAGAAGAAGUGACGUUCUUUGGCGACCACAAUCCAUUGUACUUUUUUACCAGGAGUUUACGAGAUGUUGUUGGGCUUUGAGGACUUUGAGAAUAUGAUCAGCGAGAGUAAAGAAGAAUAAGAAAAGAAUGGUAAUUAGAGGAAAGGUGAGAAAGUUAAAGAUCCGUCAUAUCAAGGACGUCGAAAGACUCAGAGCUUCAAAAGAAGUGAAGUUAGAACUAAUUCUUCCAACUGAGGUUUUAGUGCCACUGGUCCGAGGCGAAGUGAUAGAUUUACGGGUGAUCCCAGAUCUUAAAGACAAGGGGUGACUCGAGUAAGGGAAAUGUACCUUUGUGCCAUAGGUAUAAUAUUAGACACUUUGGAGAGUGUGGGAAUCAGUGAAUGUGUUCAUGUGGAUGGAUGGGACAUAGAGGUAUGAAUUGUCCCUGGAAUCAGUUGUUACCCAAUAGUCUUCCUUAACAUAUCACUUGGAAAUAUUGACGAGUAAGUCGUACAGGUCACUAUAUGUGACUCCGACUUAUGUGCUAGCAUGGAUGGUCGAGUUGUAGACUCAGUCGUACAGGUCAUUCUAGCUGACUCCGGCUGAUAUAUUUCUUAUUAUGGUCGAUGUUGCCAAAGAAAGUAAUGUUGGAGCACGAUCGAGGCGUAUUUAUGUAUUUCUAAGGAAGAACAAGAUGAUAAUAUUACACCCCUCAGGAAUUGUUACUUAGUUAUCGAGACAACAGUGAGUUAUUUGUAUUGCGGGCUGCAGACCGUAAUAUUUAUAACUUAUUUGUUGGAUUCGUUAAGUAAGUAAACAAGUAAGGCACUUUAUGUUGAUUUGGUUUAUUAAGGGUGUCCAGUGAUGGUGAAAAAUGUCAUGUCAGUGAAUUUUAUUCCGUUGGAUAUUAUGGAUUUUGAGGUGAUUUUUUUUGGCACCAGUGCGUGCAGUAUAAUUGUGUCAAGCUAGAUUGCUAUGGGGAAUCAGUUAAUUUUUGUUGACCUGGAUGACCAGAGGUUACUUUUAGGGGUAAGUAAAGUGGAGUGAGUUAUGCCAUUAUUCCUGUUGAGAGAGCAAAGAAGAUUGUUAUCAAAAGGCUGCCAAGAUAUUGAGUUCAUAUGGUGCUAAAUGAUGUUGAUCCUAAUAGUAUGGAAGAUGUAAAGAUGGUUAGACAUUUUCUUGGUGUAUUCCCAGAUGACUUACCUAGAUUGCCGCCAGGCAGAGAUGUGGGUUCCAUUAUUGAAUUGUUUUUAGGUACAAAUCCUAUGUUAGAAAUUGGUUCAGGUUGAGUUAAAAGUUCCAUUCAACUUAUUAUAUCACAUUGGAAAAGCUCCGGUUUAUUUGUGAGGAAGAAAGUGGACAUUAAGGCUAGGCAUUGAUAUUAGGUAAUUGAAUCGGGUAACGAUUGAGAGCUGUUAUCCAUUGUUGUGUAUUAAUGAUUAUUUGAUCAGCUCUGAGGCGCCUGGGUACUUUCUGAGACUGACUUGAGGUCUGAAUGAUAUUAGUUGAAGAUUAACAGUGGGGAUGUCCAUAAGACUGAAUCCAGGACUCGUUAUGGUCAUUUCAAGUUGGGAUGCCAUACGGAGUGACGAAUGCACCUACUAUUUUUAUGAGCUUACUGAAGGAAGUAUUCCAGUGAUAUCUAGAUCGGUUUGUUGUUGUUGCCAUUGACGAGAUUGAUAAGAUUAGAGCAGUGCAUGCUAGAUAUUUUAAAGUUGGGUGUUGCAAAGAUUGAAGGAACGUUGAUGUAUGCUAAGUUUAGCAAAUGCUAAUGUUGGAUAAAUUAAUUAUAUCUACUUAAGGUAUUCAAGUGGAUUCUUAAAAGAGUAGCAACGAUUGAGAAUUUGGAACAAUUGCGAACCGUGACUGAGGUUUAGAGUUUUCUCGGAUUAGCAGGAUAUUGUCGAUAGUUCGUCCAAGAUUUUAAUUAUUGCUUCGCCCUUGGCGAGAUUGAUGAGAAAAGAGGUUAAGUUUGAGUGGGAUGAAAAAUUGUGAGUAGAGCUUCAGCAAGUAAAGUAUUCCCUCACUCAUGCAUCUGUUUUCGCACUCCCAAACGAUAGUGGUAAUUACGUAGUCUAUAGUAAUACUUCUUUGAAUGUUCUUGAAUGCGCGUUGAUGCAACAUGGUAGGAUGAUUGCCUAUGCUUCAUGGCCAUUGGGAUCUCAUAAGAUGAAUUACCCUAAUUAUAAUUUGGAAUUAGCAGCUAUCAUCUUUGCUUUGAGAAUUUGGAGACAUUGUCUUUAUGGGAAGAAAAGUGCAUGAUUGUUACAAAUCAAAAGAGUACCCAAUAUCUGUUUAUUCAGAGGUAUCUUAAUCUUAGGCAACAAAGGUGGAAUGAGUUGCUUAGUGAUUAUGAUUGUGUGACGAGGGUGGUCAAGCUAAUGUUGUGGCUGAUGCAUUUAGUAGGAAGACCCCAGUGAGAAUUAAUGCUUGGUAUGCUUGCUAUGUUCAUCUUCUUGUGGAUUUGAAAUCUACUGGAGUAAAGUUGAGUAUCAAAAAUCGAGAAGAAGCCUUACUUGCUAAUUUCUAAGUUGGACCCAUUUGGUAGAUCGUACUCGAUACUCAAGCGUUUGACGAAGAAAUUCAAGAAUUUAUUUAAAGCAAGGAAUAACGGGAUAAAGAAGGACCUUAGAGUUAGAGAAUCAGAUGGCAAGCUUAUGCAAGGGAACAAAGUGUUUAUGCCUAAUGGUGUGGAAUUAAAUAAAGCAAUUUUGACGAUGUACAUUAUUCCACUUCUACAAUGCAUCCCAAAAGUACUAAGAUUUAUCAUACCAUUCGUUCAUGUACUAUUGACGGGUAUGAAAAGAGGAACGGCGAAGUAUGUUAGUAGGCGUAUCAUCAGUCAUCAGGUUAAAGCAGAAAGAAAUAAGUCUUUUGGAAUAAUGUAGUCAUUUCCCAUUCCACGGCGGAAAUGGGAGAAUAUUACUAUGGAUUUCAUGGACAAGCUUCCUCGUAUACCAAAUAGUUAGGUUGGAGUUUGAAUAAUAAUUGAUUGAUUUGUGACGUCAGCGCAUGUUACUUCAGUAUGAGAACAUCAACCUUUCCAGAUAAGCGCAACAGUCAUUUAUUUGUUUUAUGGAAAAAGGAGAUUGGGAUCUGUUAAACUUCUUGGGUAUGUUGGUUCCUUCAGUUUGUUCCCUAGAGUAACGCCAUAAGGCCGUGGAAAGCUAUGUCUUGUGUUUCGAAAUUGUUAGAAUUGGGGACGGAUGAUAUUCAAGACUCUGAGUUUGGUGAAAAUUUAUGGAGGAAUCUUUCAGUGGAAGAAAACUACUUGAAAGUCAAAGAAUCGAAUGAGAGAGAUGUGUGUUUCGGGCUGUUUCAUGGAUAUUGAUGGAUUGUAAAGAUUGUGUAAAUUUCGAGGACGAAAUUUCUGUAAGGUGGGUAGAUUGUGACAGCCCGUCCCUAAUUUUAAGAAUUUUUAAAGUUUUAAUAAAGGAUUUUACAAAAAUGCCCUUCGAGGCACGCACAUCAUUCGAGGUUAAUCGUUGUGUCGUGCCAUCUAAGAUUUGUUUUCUUGACAUAUCCUCGUAGUACUCGUCGUUACGGACGUGUGGGCGCAGACGGUUCGUGAUUUGGAGUUAUAUCGAAGAAGUUAUUAACGUUUGAAAUUUGGAAUUUUAAGGAAUUAUAAUUUUAGUAAAAUAUAGAAAUUCUUUUAUGAAAUUGGACGGCCCAGAUUUAUUGAUGAAUGAAAUGGAUGGCUGGGAUGAGGGAAAGGUUUUUGGUGUGUGUAUGUGUAUGAGAAGAAGAAACAGAAAACAGAAAAGAAGAAGAGACUGGGCAGAAAUGCCCAAUCGGAGAAGAAGAAGGUGAGAGCAAACCAGAAGAAGGGAGAGGAAGAAGCUGACCAAUCAGGGGACGGAAAGGAGGGAAAGGAGGGAAAGGAGGGAGAGUGGUGCGCGGGGGAACAGGAGGAAUGGGUCACCCUUGACCCGCGCGACCCAAGCUUCCAAAUCGGCGGGUUUUCGCCAUUUCCGUCCAAAUUUCCGACGAAUUGAGUCAAGGUACCACUCCUAAUCAUCAUCUAGGCCUUCCCUCUUUACGUUUCACCCCAAGAAUCAUUGAAUUUCGUUGUGAUUUCGCGAAGAACACCCCUACGGGUGCCGCGACCCUUUUGUUUAAAUUCUCCAAAUUUUGAAAUGUUUUCUUUCAAUUACUAACACCUUUAGCAUUCCUUUAGGACCUAGAACAAAGCCCAAGAGGUAAUUGAGGCGUUGGAACAAGUUUGAAGGUCGAAUUGGAAACACCCAAAUUCUAGGGUUCUUCACGGUUUUGGUGAAAUUGAAGCACUUCCAGGCCAAAUUGGCCUUGGUCUCAGGUAUGAAAGUUGUUCUACUCAUUGAGAUCUUCAAAUCUGCAAAUUUUGGUAAUUUUUGGAAAUAGUUGAAUUUUCCGGCGAGCCGGGGCGGCCAACCGCCACCCGCGGCGGCCCGCGCGGCGGCGCGUGGCCAAUGGCCGCCAAUGUCAUUAUUAGCUUGUGAUUAAGGUUCUAGGUUCUGUUUUGAUAAUUGAUGGACGUAAAUUGAAUAAUUGAACCUAAGUUGGUUACGAUUCGGGGUUAGGUGAAAAUGUGAAUUGACGAUCCGACCGUUGGAUCGUCAUCAAACUUUGAUACGUUGUAAUACGUAAUAUUUGAGGAUUAUAGGAACUUACGGAUUGGGAAUCCGAUUUACGGAUAUUCCGGAAUUGGAAUUGUAAGUUCAUAAAAUAGAAUGUUAACCGUCACUUAGUUUUGGAAAUUGACGGAGAUCCGACCGUUGGAUGGUAACGAAAUUUUAGGAUGUUGUCCUAGAGGUAUAUUGUGGACCUCUGGAAGUUUCGGAUUUGAAAUCUGAAUUGCAGAUCAUCCGGAUCGAACUACGUAGUGACGUGUCUUAUAUAAGUUAUGUAUUCUAUCGGCAGGAUUUCUGAGGUUGGGUUUGAUUAUUGUUCUAGGCGCUAAUCUUCAUGACGCCUUGAUGUGUGGUGCUAGGGAGUUGUUGAGCGAACUCCAGGUGAGUGGGCAGUUUUGUUUUCGUAUUACCUUUAUACUAUAAAUUUUUCCCAGAAGAUGAAUUUAUACGAAAUUAUGUUUUGAAAAUGCCAUGCAUAGAAUUAUUUGGAAAAGGUGAAUUUCACAUGAGUUAUAUGAUUGAUAUAUGAUGCAUACAUGUUGCAUGGUGCUGUGGAGGCACAGGUAAGUCAGGUGAGUUCAUUAUUCAUUUAAUUGAUUGUUGAUAAGAUGUUUCAAGCUCAUAACCUGCACCCUAGGUGUUAGUGCUUAUUUUAUUCACCACACCGCACGCUCGCCUUGGAUCCAAGUAGGUGGAUGUCGUACAGACCAUGUGAGGGUUCCGACAUGCUAGUCGUAUAGAUCACUAGGCGUGAUUCCGACUAGUGGGUGAUCUUAGUUAUGCGCGCUGAUGAUUGAUGAGAGAAGCACUAGAGCGUAUUUUUACACCUUUCAUCGUACAGACUACCUUACGUAGUUCCGAGUGAUGUGCAGAGUAGGGCCGUAUAGGUCACUGUGGUGACUCCGGCUUAGUGAGAUAUUGAGCUAUUGAAUUAAUCGUAUAGGACCAACUGCAGGGUCUCCGAUUGAUUCCUUAUUUCACCUGAUUUAUAUUUUGAUUUAUGGCAUGGCAUGUUUUUCUUGAAAAAUGUUAAAGAUUUGGGAUUCAAGUUUUGAGAUUUCAUAUGGUUAUAUAUAUAUAUUUUUCUGAAAAGUGUUAAAGGUUUGAGAUUUGAGAUUUUUGCUUAUAUAUAUGUUUAUAUAUAUGCUAUUUUCUGGGAAAGUAUACAGGUUUUACGGUGAGGGGUUAGAAAUAUUUUAAAUGAAAAGUUUUCGAAAAACUUUGUUUUACUGACCCACUCAAUUUUGUUUUGCGCCCUCCAGGUUCAAGUUAGCAGAGCUUUGGUGGCCACGAGGAAUCCAACGGUGUUCUGACAGAAUUCACAAAAGUAGGACUCACCCUCGGGUGUGUCAUCUUAGUAAUUGGAAAUUUUUUUUAAAGCUUCUGAACUAUGUAAAUGGUUACGUCACUCUCACGUGACGGCCAGCACGCCCUCCUUCGGGACGGGGUGUGUCAUUAAGUCUAGUUGUUAUAAUGCUCAUCCGACUAUUAACUGAGCCUUUGCUUUGAAUUCGGUAUUAAGCCAAGUUUAGCAUUUUAAUAGUAUAAUUAUAAUAAUAAAGUACCUUGAAUAUGGAAGUCAUCAACAACUAAAGCACACACUUGUUUAAUUUGUAUGAACACUGUAUAUUAUUGUUUUUGUAGACCCUGUCAACCACAACCAGUAAGAAUAUAUUAUCCUAGACACCUAACUAUAACUAGCAUAAAAAGAAGAUUAGCCUAUAUUUCUAACUAUAACUAGCAUAACAAGAAUCUGAAGAAGCAGAAGUGUUUCUCUUGGUUAGCUUGAACAUCCUUCAUUUAUUAAUAAAUAUAAAAACACAAAAGUGCAACAUAAUGUACUAGCAGCAAAAAGAGCAACAGAUCAUACUUUAAAGAUGUUGAGAAAAAAAAAAGAGAGUUAUUAGCUAUAACAUUAAAAAAAAAAUUUAAUUUACUUGAAUACAAUGAAUUUACUUGAAUGUUUUUACACCAGGCCAAACAAAAUCUGAAAAAUAAAGUAAUAGAAACAACAAACAUUUGUUGACAAUUUCAUCUUCCUCAAAAGACUUGCUUCUCAUAAACAACUUCAUCUUUCUCUACUCCCUAUAAAAAAUACAUGAAUCCAGUUGGUGCAACGUUUAGCUCAAUAUUCACCACAUUUAUUUAGGGCACACUAGUACAAAAAAUACUUUGCGCGACGUAGGCCCUUCGUCUCGCAAAGUCAAAAAACGUCGCGCAAAACUUAGCCCAACGAACCUUCAUCGCGCACCAACAGUUGUGUGACAAAGAAGUGCCCUGCGUCACACAGAGUGGUUUUGCGCGAUGCAGGUCCCUACGUCGUGCAAAACUACUUUGCGAGAUGCAGGUCCCAUGUCGCGCAAAACCACCUUGAGCGACGUUGGGACUUGCGUUGCGCAAACCCUUGUUUAUUUUUUUUUUGGCAAAUAUAUUUUUAUUUAAUUUUUAAUAAAUAUUGUAAUUAAAUUCUAAACAAUAAUUAAUAAACCAAGAAAAAGUAUUUAAUUAUAAAAUAUAUGAAAAUGUACAUACAAGAUGUCUGAACAAAAAAGAAAAAACUACAAUAAGUAGUUUUCUAGGUUUAAUACAUCAUGCUACUGGGUAUCGACUGGGCAAAGUGGCUGGGAGGUCGAAGGUGGAGCAACAUCAAGUACUGGCAUUGGGACAUAGAGGUGCGAAAUAGAUAAGCACACAAAUUAAACCCUCUUUUUGUCAAAUCGUAGUAAAGAUGUAAGUAGGGAUCGUUCUAGACCGGGGAUUAGGAGGGAUUGCUAAACACUUGAAAACUGACUUCAAAACAUGAAAACAAAGUUUAAAACACUAAGCUAGACUCAAAGAAUGCAAAACUAAAGUUAAAAACACUUAAACAAACCUAAAACUCAAAACAGCAACCUAAUGACUCAAAACUGCCUAAAAACCACUUUCUGGGCAGUUUUGAGAACCUAACAAGAACUUGGACGAAUUUGGGUGAAAACUUGAAUCAAAACACUUAGAAACACAAAUCAAAACAUAUUCUAACUAAUCUACGACUUCAAAAAUAAAAGGGGAUUUGUUUUGGACGAAAAUUGAAAAACAAACAGAAACUUUAAAACAAAACAGAUUGUAAAACGUUUUUGGAUGAAAAGGAUGGAUAAAAGGCUAGUUAGGAGGUUCUUCUCCACACAUGUCACACUUGCAAACAAAAACGAUUUUCAGUUGUUCUUCCAAUAAAUUAUGAAUACUCAACGCCCCAAAUUAACCGUGAAUUGCACUAAUUAACCCUCAGUUUUUCCACAAGUUAUUGAGUUGGAUGAUUGCAUACGACAACCCAAAACAUUCCUUACAAGUUCCCUACAUGAAUUGCAUAAUAGAGAUACAAGCAAGAAUCAUUAAGUUCUAUGAAAAACAUAAGCAUUGACGAAGCAUUCGUUACUAUGAAUUGCAUGAAACUUAUGCCAAGAAUUCAUUCAACGUGAUCGUUUUCAAGCGACCUUCACUACUUGUGAUUAUAAGAUUGUAACUAUUAGGUGAAACUCCCUCAUAAUCUAGCAUCAUAUUCAUGCAUGAAAACUAAGCGUGCACUCUCAAUCAACAUACACAAAUAAGUAUCAAUCAAAUAGAUGAACGAAUUGAAUCCACAACUUAUGAAAUAACAACUGAAUGUAAUCAAAUCAUAUUGCAAGCAUGUACAUGGUUUCGAAUUCCCCCCCUAACCAAGGGGGGUUUAGUUCCUCAUUCUCACAACACAAAGAGUAUCAAAAUUAAACAUAGAAAUCAAAGGAAAGACAACACCUAAAACGUUCCAGCAACCCUUAAUUGAAUGGCAUGAAUGUCCCAAGCUUUCUCUCCUCCUCUUGGCUGCGGCACAAGGACUAGAGACAGGUUCUAGGGGUUAUUUGGAUGGAUGAGUAGGUAAGGAAUGAUAUGGUAGUGUUUUGGGGACAUGGGGGUUGCGGCAAAGUAUGGAAAAAUGGCAGAUUGGUGGAGGAAGGUUGCGGCAAAGUGUGAUGGAUGUGUUUGACAAAUUUCUGAAUUGUGGAGGGGGCAUAUCUGCGGCAAGGCUAAGAACACAUAUAUAUAGGCACCAUAAACCCUAGGGAAAUCAGGUUUAAGCAAUGGGCUAAGGUUUAGAUGCGGCAAAGGGCUAAAAGUCCACCAGAAAAUAAAGUUUUUAGAAAGCCUUGCAAGGCAAGGGGUCCAAAUCUGAAAAGGAUUGGGCUUAUGGUGUGGCAAUGUCCAAGAAUGUAAGGAUGGGUCAUCUAGAAGCCCAAAGCCAAGAAUAGAAACUCUCACAAAUGGAAACCUCCAAGAAUAGAAACUUCCAACUUUAGAAACUUUGGGUUCUAAUUCUGAAUUCUUUGUUCUUCACUUUCAUUUCUUCAUUUCUUAAGCUCCCUUUGACCUUCAACUCGUCCAUUCCUUGUGCUCCAUAAGUAAAAACGCCAUUUGAGCUCAAUUAUGCUCCAUUUUGCACUUCCUUGCAUACUUUGUCUCUAAAACCUGAAAACAUAUAAAACUAGCUUAAAAGACUACGUUAACUAAGAAAACACCAUGGAAAUGCAUAAGAACUAGCUAACUAAGGCGCAUAAAUAUGCUCCUAUCAAAUUCCCCCACACUUAGCUUUUGCUAGUCCUCGAGCAAAACAAACAAAAGAAAGGAAACAAAAUGAAACAAAUUAACCAAAACAAACCUAAACCUUCCAACGUUUGCCUCAGGGAUUUCCAAUGCACAUGACAUGUUAAAGAUUGUUAUCCCCACAGAUUUGAGUCGUCUUUACACAAGCACGUACUUAAUUAAAGCCACUACUUACUAGUUCACAAGUAAUCAAUUAAAACAAUGCUUUGAAUGUAGUAACAUGCCUUAGAGAAUUCCCUCAAUUCCUUACAAGAUAUACACUCUAUUUUCACUCAGAUUUUCUAACUACACACCCUACACUAGUCAUAUGUGAGAAGAUUGAUGUAGAUAUGAAAACGAAUGCUCACAUAUAUGUAUCACAAAGAACGCAAUUUCUAGAGUUAAGAAGCAUGUUUAGAUAUGAUCUCAUGAAUGGAAUGCUACUACUUAGAUGCGAGAACCAGUGACACCAUAUGCUCAUACCAAAUUCAAACUCCACAAAUUGAAAUACACAACACUCAAGAUAGAAGUUAAGGGUUGUAACGGGGCUUGGGGUGUUGGUUAACAAGGAAAGGAUAGGGAAAACAAACGUUCUUCAAGCAAUAGUAAGCAAAGCAAUGAAAUUGAGACUUAGAAUUCACUUAAAUUGCAGAAAUUAACUUUAAAACACCAGGGGAAGACUUAAACAACUCCUUAGGGCCGAAUUCAUUGUUUUGGACCCUUACUUCAACAAACAAUACUUUGGAACUCUUUUUCUCAACUUUUCAACUCUUUUUUUUUUUCAAACUUUUCAUACUUUUUUCUUCAAUUUUCUUUUUCCACGAAAUUUUUUUUUCUUUUCUUUUCUUUGUCGUGCCUAUGGCACACAAUUCCUCACGAAAAAAAAUACUUCCCCCACACUUGGUUUCUGCCAACAUAGAUCAAAAGGAAUUCAAUUCGAAUCAUGCUUUACUAUGCUUUAAGAACACGGGUAUGGAUGGUCCUAAACUAGGCUAGGUGAGGAUAAUGUGGGUUAACAACAACAUAGGCUAAACAAGGCUCAACGGGGUUAAACUUAAACAUAAAAUGAUAUGGGAUACACGGCAGUUUGGCUAAGGUGGUGGUAACUACACAACUUUAUCUUGAAUAUGUGUUAUGCAAAUCAAUAACAUGCUUUGAAUGAAAUGGUCAUGAGUUCUAGCAUUUGGAACUAAAUGAUGAAACGCCUUCUAAGUAGCAACCAAGCAAGGAAUAAUGAGAUCAUGCAACGACUUAGAAAACAAAGAAUGCACAGAUUUUAACUCUCCAAAUAACCGUUUAGGCUCAAGUCUCACAAGGUUGUAGCGUUUGUUUGAGUUCCUUCCUUCAAGCAUGUUACAAAAACUGAUUUUUCCUUUAUGAUUGCAUGUGAAUUCAUAAGUUAUAACCACAACCAAGCAUAAACAAAGAGUAAAUCAAACUUUCAUCCAUGUUAAUCACUCUCUUUAACAGUCAUGCAAUUAAAAACCAAAUCCUCAUCAUUGUGUUGGAAGGUACCCUAAGACACAAACAAACACACAAAAACAACGCUUUUUGGGUUUUUAAAACAAAUUUUUCAAAUUUUUAUGUGAUUUUCGGAUUUUUACUUCAAAACACACUAAAACACACCAAAACUGCUCAAAAACACUUAAAAACAGCAAGGAACAAGUCUCCAAGUUAAGGGUGAUAAAAUCCCACGAAUUUGCAUCUAAAACACUUAGUUACCCCCCCACACUUAAAUCAAACAUUGUCCUCAAUGUUUCAAGCAUAAAAUCACACUAAACAAAAAGAAACACACAAACAGCAACUAAAACAACUAAAUAGGCAGAUUCGAAAUAAAUAACAAAGUGAAGAGUUUAGGAACGCAAAUCUGGAAUUGGAGUAAUUCCUUGGUCUUCCUUUGUUGUAUUGCAUGGGUUGCCUCCCAAGGAGCGCUUUCUUUAACGUCGUACAGCCGGACGAAAAGCCCAUUCAUUCUCCUUUUGUGCCCACGGCACCCAAAGAAAUAUCAUCCACGGUUUGUUCAACAAAGUUCUCAUAAUAUGGCUUCAAACGGUGUCCGUUCACUUGGAAUUCAUGACCUGUUUUGAGACUUUGAAUCUGGAUGGCACCAUAAGAAGAUACGUUAGUAAUAACAAACGGUCCAAUCCACUUAGAACGUAACUUACCGGGAAACAAACGUAAACGGGAAUUGAACAAUAGCACUUUCUGCCCAAUUGAGAAUGAUUUCCCACGGAUCAUGUUGUCAUGGAAAGCUUUGGUCUUUUGCUUGUAAAUGCUUGCAUUAUCGUACGCCUCGUGCCGUAUCUCAUCAAGCUCAUUCAAUUGCAAUCUCCUUUGACUUCCUGCUUCCUCGAGGUUCAUGUUAAACUUCUUGAUGGCCCAAAGUGCUUUGUGCUCCAAUUCAACAGGAAGAUGGCACGCCUUGCCAUAGACAAGUCGGAAGGGGGACAUCCCAAUGGGGGUUUUGUACGCCGUACGAUACGCCCAAAGUGCAUCAUCUAACUGUAAGCUCCAAUCCUUCCGUGUUGGCCCAACGGUCUUCUCAAGUAUUUGCUUGAUCUCUCGGUUGGAAACCUCGGCUUGGCCAUUCGUUUGAGGAUGGUAAGGUGUAGAAACCUUAUGGGUGACACUGUAUUUCCUCAAUAACGCUUCAAUGGUCCGAUUGCAAAAGUGUGACCCUCCAUCACUAAUGAUCACUCGUGGCAUUCCGAACCUUGCAAAAAUGUUAGUUCUAAUAAAAUCUGCAACCACUUUAGAAUCAUUAGUCCGGGUGGCCUUGGCUUCCACCCAUUUCGACACAUAAUCAACCGCAAGCAAAAUAUACAUGAAACCAUAUGAUGAAGGGAAGGGACCCAUAAAAUCAAUACCCCAAACAUAAAAAAUUUCAACAUUUAGGAUAGAAACCUGCGGCAUUUGGUCCUUUGCACUAAUACCACCCAUUCGUUGGCAUUUAUCACAUGUUAAGCAAAAAGUUUUAGCAUCUUUAAAAAUACUAGGCCAAUAGAAUCCACAUUGUAACACCUUGAGGGCUGUGCGUUGUGUGCCAAAGUGCCCUCCACAUGCAUAUGUGUGACAAAAACUCAAAAUUGAAUGACAUUCAUAAUCGUGCACACAACGACGUAUAAUCUGAUCAGGGCAAAAUUUCCAUAAGUACGGAUCAUCCCACACAUAAAACCGUGCAUCAUGCCUAAGUUUAUCACGUUGGUGCCUAGUGAACUCACUUGGAAUACGUUUUGACACCAAAAAAUUAACAAUAUCGGCAUACCAAGGCGCACUAACCUUAAUGGACAGCAAUUGUUCAUCGGGGAAUGUCUCCAAAAUCGGCAAAGACUCCUCAUUAUGCACCAUUCGGCUUAGGUGGUCAGCCACCACGUUUUCACUUCCCUUCUUGUCCCGAAUCUCUAUGUCGAACUCUUGAAGUAGCAAUAUCCAUCGAAUUAGCCGUGGCUUGGCCUCUUUUUUGGUGAGCAAGUACUUCAGAGCUGCAUGAUCAGUGAAAACAAUUACUUUAGUUCCAAUUAGAUAUGAUCGAAAUUUAUCUAAAGCAAAGACAACGGCAAGGAGUUCUUUUUCCGUAGUGGAGUAGUUCAAUUGUGCAUCGUUCAACGUCCGUGAGGCAUAGUAAAUGACAUGCGGCCUCUUGUCCUUUUCUUUGUCCUAAAACAGCUCCUGAAGCAUAGUCGGACGCAUCACACAUGAGCUCGAACGGUAGACUCCAAUCCGGUGGAACAAUGAUGGGUGCCGUGGUCAACAACUCCUUGAGUUGGUUGAAUGAUGCCGUGCACUCCUUGGUGAAUUCAAACGCCACUUCUUUUUGUAGGAGUCGACAAAGAGGUUGUGCUAUCUUCGAGAAAUCUUUGAUAAACCUAUGAUAAAAUCCUGCAUGGCCAAGAAACGAACGAACCUCUCUAACCGAAGUCGGAGAGGGUAAGUGACGUACAAGAUCUAUUUUCGACUUAUCAACCUCAAUACCCUUUUCAGAGAUUAUAUGACCUAAAACGAUGCCUUGUUUAACCAUAAAAUGACACUUUUCCCAAUUAAGAACAAGGUUAGUUUCAACACAAUGUUUUAGGAUCAAACUUAGAUUAUGCAAGCAACUAUCAAACAAAUCACCAAAUACACUAAAAUCAUCCAUAAACACUUCAAUUAUCUUUUCUACGUAAUCAGAAAAUAUGCUCAUCAUGCAUCUUUGAAAUGUAGCAGGUGCAUUACAUAAACCAAAAGGCAUGCGACGAUAUGCAAAUGUACCAAACGGGCAUGUAAAAGUGGUUUUUUCUUGGUCCUCGGGUGCAAUGACAAUUUGAUUAUAACCAGAAUAACCAUCAAGAAAACAAUAAAAAGCAUAACCCGCUAACCUCUCAAGCAUUUGGUCAAUGAACGGCAAUGGGAAGUGGUCAUUCCUCGUGGUGGUGUUUAGCUUCCUAUAGUCAAUGCACACCCUCCAACUGGUUUGAAUACGUUGAGGGACAAGCUCAUUCUCGGCAUUAGCUACCACCGUCACUCCGGAUUUCUUUGGUACGCAUUGAACGGGCAAAACCCACCUACUAUCUGAGAUUGGAUAGAUAACCCCACAAUCUAGAAGCUUUAUGAUCUCAUUUUUCACAACUUCCAUCAUAGGAGGGUUGAGACGGCGUUGAGCCUCUCGAGUUGGUUUGGCCCCCUCCUCAAGAAAUAUGUGAUGCAUACAAGUCGUAGGGCUUAUACCUUUGAUGUCGGCCAAUGUCCAACCUAAGGCAGAUUUGAAUUCCUUCAAGACGCGCACUAGUUCUCCUCUUCUUAUGCCGUGAGGGAGGGAGGAAAUGAUGGCAGGUAGUGUUUCAUUUUCUCCCAAGAAAAUGUACUUCAAAUGGCUUGGCAAAGGCUUGAGUUCAAGGAUAGGUGCCUGAAUUAUGGAUGGAAGCAAUUUGUUAGUCGAAAUGGGAAUGGACUCACGGUUAGUAUACUUACCAUCAAGCUUAGGUGAGGACUCAAGGGCAGCCACAACUUCAAUUAGUUCUUCACUAGGGGCCACGGCAUGGCCUAGUCCAUGUAUGCCGUGGGUUACACUAGAAUCUGCCCCCUUGGUUUUGAGUUCCAUGCCUCGUGUAAUGACUUUUUCAAGCGCAUCGUCAUUCAAAUCGUCGAGAUAUCCCUGCGCCAAAGAGUCAAUUAUAUCAAUAGAGAAACAUGAAUGGUCCUCACUAGGGUAUUUAAUGGAAUCAGAAAGAUUAAAAUUAACAACUUCCCCAUCGAAUUCCAUGGACAAAGUUCCACUAUACACAUCAAUCUUUGUCCGGGCCGUCUUCAUGAAUGGCCUUCCAAGUAGAAUGGGCAGCAAAGGAGCAUCAUGGUCCGAUUCAUCCAUUUCGAGGACAUAGAAAUCCGCCGGGAAGACUAAAUGAUUAACCUGCACAAGAACAUCUUCCAAAACUCCCUUUGGAUAGGCGUUAGAUCUAUCGGCCAAUUGUAUUAUUACCCCAUCAUUUUUCAAUGCUCCUAAGUUCAUAGAUGCAUAAAUGGAAUAUGGCAUAACAUAUAUAGAAGCACCUAAAUCAAGCAUGGCAGAUUCAAAUCUAGUGCUCCCAAUGACACAAGGAAUGGUAAAGCUACCUGGAUCUUUGCAUUUGGGAGGUAGUUUGCGUUGCAAGAUGGCGGACACAUUCUCACCUACCUUUACCACUUCCUUAGUUGACAUCCUCUUCCUAGUGGUACACAACUCCUUCAAGAACUUAGCAUACCUCGGAACUUGCUUGAUUGCAUCUAACAAAGGGUAUGUUAACUUGAACUUUCCUAAAGGUUUCAAGGAUAUCCUUUUCUGCCUCUUCUUUCUUCGUUUGCAUGAACCUACUAGGAAAAGGCACAUUUGAAGGGAAAACAUUAGUAUGAACUGAAUUGGACACAUUCUUACCCUUAUUGGCCGAAUUGGACAGAUUUGGGGCCUUAGGGACUUGCGGCAAAGGUGGAACCACCUUUGCCGUGGGCAUGCUUGAUUCCUCCUCUUCAAUUAGCACAUUUACAUCACUUUUGAGAGACCUGUUUGUGAUGGUGUGUAGAACCUGCCCCAAUCUCUUUUCCACUUCUCAAGAGUAUUGCCUUUGCACUUUCGAAACCUCCCUUCGGAUUUGGAAUGGUAGAACUAGGGAGUUGUCCGGGAUCUCGAAACUUACCUACAAACUCGGCAAUCUGCCCAAUUUGUUUCUCAAGUUGAUCCACCCUUUUGUCUUGGUUUUGCAUAGCCUUAGCUUGAUCUUCCUGCCCAUUAGACAACUUGGUUAGUAUCUUAAGAAGUGCAUCAUUGUCAAGAGACGUACCUGAGGCACUUGGGCCGGAUUGGGCUUGAUUUUGGGGUGGGCCGUAGGUUUUGGGAAAGAACCCCGGGGGUUGUUGCCUAAAGCCUCAUUGGUUUUGAGGUUGUUGGGGCUCCCUCCACUUGAAAUUUGGGUGGUCUCUCCAACCGGGAUUAUAUGUGUUUGAAUAUGGAUCGUUCCUUGGUUGGUUUUGCCCUUGAAACCCAAUUGCAUGUGCGCUUUCCCAUCCACCAUUUUCAAUCAACUGUGGACACUUUUAAGAGACAUGUCCUUAGAUGGAACAUACGCCACAUACAAUUGGUCCUUGCAUCUUCAUGCCCUCGGCCAUCUAAGACACAAGAGAAGUAAGAUUAGCCAAUUGUGAGUGAAGAUCGGAAGUUGUACUUACCUCAUGUACUUGGUGCCGUGGGGGUCCCCUUUGGCCUACUCCCUCAUAUUGUUGAGCGUUCAACGCUCGGUUAGAGAUCAAGAUCUUGGCAGCCAUGGGUGUUUUGUCCACCAAUGCUCCCCCCGCCGAAGCAUCAAGCAUUUGACGUUCUAGAGAGGUAGGAGACCCUCGUAGAAAUAUUGCAAAAGCAACUCCUCCUUCAUCUGAUGCUGUGGACAAGAAGCAACAAGUGAUUUAAAUCGUUCAUAAUAUGUAGGAAAAGACUCACCCUUCUUCUUGCUGAAUUCGGCUUAUCUUUUUGCGUAGGAGGAUGAUGCGAGAAGUUGGAAAGAACUUCUCCAAGAACGCUCUCUUCAUACUCUCCCAAGAAGUUACAGUGCCGGGAGCUAACUCGUAUAACCAAUCCUUGGCUUUAUCCAUCAAAGAGAAUGGAAAAGCCUUCAUCUUCAAGAUAUAUCCGUCAACAUUGACGGGAGUUAUCCUAGAGCAAACCACUUCAAAUUCUUUCAAAUGUUUGUUAGGAUCUUCCAUGGACAAGCCAUGGUAUUUAGGAAUAUGAUGAAGCAAACUUGACUUUAAUUCAAACUCGUCUGUCUUACCUUGGGCGGCCGUGGGGUAUUGGAUGCACAAGGGUGCGGCAUUAUCCAAACCUGAGGCGGAAAGCUCUUUGAGUGUACGGUUGUCCACCACCAUGCCUUGGACUUCUUCAAAUAUUCCCUGCCGUGGUCUCCUCCUCUUCUUGUACGGUUUCUUCAAGGUCAGAUUCGGAAUUGGGCGGAUGGUGUUCUUGCUCUGGUUUCUAGCUCUUCUUUCCUCUCAAAGUCGUCGUCAAAAUCCAAGAUGUUCGCAUGAUGAAUCGUUUGAGAGCUUCUAGUCAUACACUAGUACCUAAGAAACAAGAAACAAAUUUAGGUCAGAAACUUAAACAAAAUCAGAAACAAAGUGAAAUAAAAGAAACAAAAACAAUCCAAGGGAUUAGCAAAAUUGCUAAUCCCCGGCAACGGCGCCAAAAAUUUGAUGCGAAAUAGAUAAGCACACAAAUUAAACCCUCUUUUUGUCAAAUCGUAGUAAAGAUGUAGUAGUAGGGAUCGUUCUAGACCGGGGAUUAGGAGGGAUUGCUAAACACUUGAAAACUGACUUCAAAACAUAAAAACAAAGUUUAAAACACUAAGCUAGACUCAAAGAAUGCAAAACUAAAGUUAAAAACACUUAAACAAACCUAAAACUCAAAACAGCAACCUAAUGACUCAAAACUGCCUAAAACCACUUUCUGGGCAGUUUUGAGAACCUAACAAGAACUUGGACGAAUUUGGGUGAAAACUUGAAUCAAAACACUUAGAAACACAAAUCAAAACAUAUUCUAACUAAUCUACGACUUCAAAAUAAAAGGGGAUUUGUUUUGGACGAAAAUUGAAAACAAAACAGAAACUUUAAAACAAAACAGAUUGUAAAACGUUUUUGGAUGAAAAGGAUGGAUAAAAGGCUAGUUAGGAGGUUCUUCUCCACACAUGUCACACUUGCAAACAAAACGAUUUUCAGUUGUUCUUCCAAUAAAUUAUGAAUACUCAACGCCCCAAAUUAACCGUGAAUUGCACUAAUUAACCCUCAGUUUUUCCACAAGUUAUUGAGUUGGAUGAUUGCAUACGACAACCCAAAACAUUCCUUACAAGUUCCCUACAUGAAUUGCAUAAUAGAGAUACAAGCAAGAAUCAUUAAGUUCUAUGAAAAACAUAAGCAUUGACGAAGCAUUCGUUACUAUGAAUUGCAUGAAACUUAUGCCAAGAAUUCAUUCAACGUGAUCGUUUUCAAGCGACCUUCACUACUUGUGAUUAUAAGAUUGUAACUAUUAGGUGAAACUCCCUCAUAAUCUAGCAUCAUAUUCAUGCAUGAAAACUAAGCGUGCACUCUCAAUCAACAUACACAAAUAAGUAUCAAUCAAAUAGAUGAACGAAUUGAAUCCACAACUUAUGAAAUAACAACUGAAUGUAAUCAAAUCAUAUUGCAAGCAUGUACAUGGUUUCGAAUUCCCCCCUAACCAAGGGGGGUUUAGUUCCUCAUUCUCACAACACAAAGAGUAUCAAAAUUAAACAUAGAAAUCAAAGGAAAGACAACACCUAAAACGUUCCAGCAACCCUCAAUUGAAUGGCAUGAACGUCCCAAGCUUUCUCUCCUCCUCUUGGCUGCGGCACAAGGACUAGAGACAGGUUCUAGGGGUUAUUUGGAUGGAUGAGUAGGUAAGGAAUGAUAUGGUAGUGUUUUGGGGACAUGGGGGUUGCGGCAAAGUAUGGAAAAAUGGCAGAUUGGUGGAGGAAGGCUGCGGCAAAGUGUGAUGGAUGUGUUUGACGAAUUUCUGAAUUGUGGAGGGGGUCAUAUCUGCGGCAAGGCUAAGAACACAUAUAUAUAGGCACCACAAACCCUAGGGAAAUCAGGUUUAAGCAAUGGGCUAGGGUUUAGGUGCGGCAAAGGGCUAAAAGUCCACCAGAAAAUAAAGUUUUUAGAAAGCCUUGCAAGGCAAGGGGUCCAAAUCUGAAAAGGAUUGGGCUUAUGGUGCGGCAAUGUCCAAGAAUGUAAGGAUGGGUCAUCUAGAAGCCCAAAGCCAAGAAUAAAAACUCUCACAAAUGGAAACCUCCAAGAAUAGAAACUUCCAACUUUAGAAACUUUGGGUUCUAAUUCUGAAUUCUUUGUUCUUCACUUUCAUUUCUUCAUUUCUUAAGCUCCCUUUGACCUUCAACUCGUCCAUUCCUUGUGCUCCAUAAGUAAAAACGCCAUUUAAGCUCAAUUAUGCUCCAUUUUGCACUUCCUUGCAUACUUUGUCUCUAAAACCUGAAAACAUAUAAAACUAGCUUAAAAGACUACGUUAACUAAGAAAACACCAUGGAAAUGCAUAAGAACUAGCUAACUAAGGCGCAUAAAUAUGCUCCUAUCAGGAGGUCGAAGGUGGAGCAACAUCAAGUACUGGCAUUGGGACAUAGAGGUCGGACAUCGCUAAAGCCUGUACAAUCAUACUCAUUUGCUCACCCUGGGUCCACAUCUGCUCACCCUGGGCCGCAAGCUGACCUUUUAGGGUUGUCACUUUCUCCUUGAGGGCAUUGACCUCUGUUGUGGACGAUUUGGAAGAGGAGGCACCCGUCUCAUGAACCAUCGCCUUCCCCAUACACCGAACAGCCUUGCCAUGAUGACUACCGAACUUCUGAUCCAAGACCUCAGUCACGAUCUAAAGACUUGCAUCCUUGGGUACAAUGACGUCCUCGAUCGGGGUCUCCAGGGGAAGCUACGAUAUUGCUUCUUGGAGAACAGCAGUGCACAUUGGUCACACACCGACGAUGAGUGAUCAACUGUGACAUCUAUACACUUUUUGAACCAUAGAAAUAUAACAUUAGAAACUAAUCCUUUCUUGCAUUUGAAAUUAAUCAAUUAGUAGCCAAAGUAAUAAUAUAAGUAAGUAGGUUACCAACAUUCUUAAUUUGAAGAGAGGAACUACCUAUCCAUUUUCAUAACCAACAAAAAAAGUGCAUCAAGUGAAACAAAAAAGAAUGGGUAAUCCGACAUUGGGAAUCUAUGAUAAAUUUUAAAGAUUAUUUAAAUCAUUAUUUAUAACAACUAAAACUUGUUUUAGGAUGCCCAAUAAACACUCGAGUAAGCAGACAUUGUAAUCAAUCAAUGGUACCAAAACUUCAUUACACUAAUUGAUAUGAUCAAAGUACCGUACAAAAACAGUUUACUUCGUACAAGCCAUUCAACCGAACACAUGACCAUAGAGACUGACUAGUAAGCAGGUAGGAAGGUAAGAGAAGCAACUGAUGCUCUUAGGGGAUUUAAAUCCCAUAAUGUUAAGUCGAGAUCUAAACACCUUGAGAAAUGCAUGUUCAAGUUCCAAUAACCAGCAGAAGAUAGCUUGCAUAGUUCACCAGGAACCAACUAUGUUAGUUCCUAUACAGUCUAAGUCUAAUCAAUGAGAUUCACAAUUAUUCUAGGGAAGAAGUUAGAAUCGAUAUGCAUGGAUGCAACAAAUAUUCAUGUUAAUUAUAUAUACGUAUACAUUUAUUAUGAAGAUCGACCUGGGUUUUUUAGCCCAACAAAGAGGGCCAAAUGGGAUGAACGAAAAGCUGUUGAAGGUAAUAAUACCUAGAAAUUAUUACAUUACAAAAACCCUACCGAUUUAUUUAAGCAUGCAUUCAAAUUUGAAAGUAUAAAGAGUGAUUUUAUACUGAUGAGCUUGUUGACGUUCUCUGACAUAAGUGGGUCUAAUAUGUCAAUUUUUUAUUCUAAAUAGUUUAAUUGAAACAUAAGAUAGUACUGUUGCUAAACUGUAUGUGUUACUAAUCAGGGAAGAACAAAGAAGAAGCAAUGGCUAAAUACAUCACAAAGGUGAAGCAGCUGCAACAACAAGAAGUAGCCUCCACAUAGAUCAUACAACAUUAAUGGAGUGCUAUAUCUAUAUCUUAAACAUUUCCUAAGUGUUUCAAGAAGAAAACACAUACCAGAAUGUAAUAAAUCAAUAAUUUUCAAUUUCCACAGCUUCUGCUU